AUGAUUUGCCUCGUAUUGGACAUAGAGACGUGGCUCCUUCGGUGUGACAAGAUCAAGUCUCCAUAUCUCCUCUGCAGUAUGCUUUAUAAUACUGGCUUAGCAAAAGUUCUGAAAAUGGCUCCUCUGGAGAGAGUUCUCUCUUCUGCUUUUGCAACAAGGAAAAUCAGUAGAGUGUAUAUUUCAUUGUCUGUCCAGCAAAGACAUGCUCUGCAGGGCCGUGAAUUCACCCCUCUGGCCUAUCUCUGCAUUCAUCCACGGGGCAAGCUGGCAAAUGGGGAAGCUUGGAGAACGAUGAGCCCAGCCCUCCACCAUGGCACCGACUGA
rnacentral:lncRNA from 1 species